rnacentral:rRNA from 1 species
CCAAGGCGACGAUCGGUACUGGUNUGAGAGGAUGAUCAGCCACACUGGGACUGAGACACGGCCCCAGACUCCUACGGGAGGCAGCAGUGGGGAAUUUUCCCGCAAUGGGCGAAAGCCUGACGGAGCAAUACCGCGUGAGGGAGGAAGGCUCUUGGGUUGUAAACCUCUUUUCUCAGGGAAGAAAACUGNCGGUACCUGAGGAAUAAGCCUCGGCUAACUCCGUGCCAGCAGCCGCGGUAAUACGGAGGAGGCAAGCGUUAUCCGGAAUUAUUGGGCGUAAAGCGUCCGCAGGUGGCUACUCAAGUCUGCUGUCAAAGACCGGGGCUCAACCCCGGAAAGGCAGUGGAAACUGGGAGGCUAGAGUGCGGUAGGGGUAGAGGGAAUUCCCGGUGUAGCGGUGAAAUGCGUAGAGAUCGGGAAGAACAUCGGUGGCGAAAGCGCUCUACUGGGCCGCAACUGACACUCAGGGACGAAAGCUAGGGGAGCGAAAGGGAUUAGAUACCCCUGUAGUCUUAGCUUU